UACAUGGGGUGCAAACGUUGCUCGGAAUUAUUGGGCGUAAAGCGCACGUAGGCGGUUCGUUAAGUCGGAUGUGAAAGCCCUCGGCUCAACUGAGGAAGUGCACCCGAAACUGGCGAGCUUGAGUACGAAAGAGGAUCGCGGAAUUCCCGGUGUAGAGGUGAAAUUCGUAGAUAUUCGCAAGAACACCAGUGGCGAAGGCGGCUCACUGGACCGGAACUGACGCUGAGGCGCGAAAGCGUGGGGAGCAAACGGG
rnacentral:rRNA from 1 species